rnacentral:rRNA from 1 species
CCUGGAGGCUGCAGUGGGGAAUAUUGCGCAAUGGGCGAAAGCCUGACGCAGCGACGCCGCGUGGGUGAUGAAGGCCUUCGGGUUGUAAAGCCCUGUCGGGUGGAACGAACGAUCUGGCGGCGAAUAACCGCCGGGUGUGACGGUACCACCGAAGGAAGCCCCGGCUAACUACGUGCCAGCAGCCGCGGUAAGACGUAGGGGGCGAGCGUUGUUCGGAUUUACUGGGCGGAAGGCGCGCGAAGGCGGCUGUGACAUCCCUCGGCUUAACCCAGGUCCCGCAUCCGAUACUGUCUGGCUCGAGUCUAGGAGAGGAAAGCGGAAUUCCCAGUGUAGCGGUGAAAUGCGUAGAUAUUGGGAGGAACACCGGUGGCGAAGGCGGCUUUCCGGACUAGUACUGACGCUGAGGCGCGAAAGCUAGGGGAGCGAACGGGAUUAGAUACCCGUGUAGUC